rnacentral:rRNA from 1 species
GAUGAACGCUGGCGGCGUGCCUAAUACAUGCAAGUCGAGCGAACGGACGAGAAGCUUGCUUCUCUGAUGUUAGCGGCGGACGGGUGAGUAACACGUGGAUAACCUACCUAUAAGACUGGGAUAACUUCGGGAAACCGGAGCUAAUACCGGAUAAUAUUUUGAACCGCAUGGUUCAAAAGUAAAAGACGGUCUUGCUGUCACUUAUAGAUGGAUCCGCGCUGCAUUAGCUAGUUGGUAAGGUAACGGCUUACCAAGGCAACGAUGCAUAGCCGACCUGAGAGGGUGAUCGGCCACACUGGAACUGAGACACGGUCCAGACUCCUACGGGAGGCAGCAGUAGGGAAUCUUCCGCAAUGGGCGAAAGCCUGACGGAGCAACGCCGCGUGAGUGAUGAAGGUCUUCGGAUCGUAAAACUCUGUUAUUAGGGAAGAAUAUAUGUGUAAGUAACUGUGCACAUCUUGACGGUACCUAAUCAGAAAGCCACGGCUAACUACGUGCCAGCAGCCGCGGUAAUACGUAAGUGGCAAGCGUUAUCCGGAAUUAUUGGGCGUAGAGCGCGCGUAGCGGUUUUUUAGUCUGAUGUGAAAGCCCACGGCUCAACCGUGGAGGGUCAUUGGAAACUGGAAAACUUGAGUGCAGAAGAGGAAAGUGGAAUUCCAUGUGUAGCGGUGAAAUGCGCAGAGAUAUGGAGGAACACCAGUGGCGAAGGCGACUUUCUGGUCUGUAACUGACGCUGAUGUGCGAAAGCGUGGGGAUCAAACAGGAUUAGAUACCCUGGUAGUCCACGCCGUAAACGAUGAGUGCUAAGUGUUAGGGGGUUUCCGCCCCUUAGUGCUGCAGCUAACGCAUUAAGCACUCCGCCUGGGGAGUACGACCGCAAGGUUGAAACUCAAAGGAAUUGACGGGGACCCGCACAAGCGGUGGAGCAUGUGGUUUAAUUCGAAGCAACGCGAAGAACCUUACCAAAUCUUGACAUCCUUUGACAACUCUAGAGAUAGAGCCUUCCCCUUCGGGGGACAAAGUGACAGGUGGUGCAUGGUUGUCGUCAGCUCGUGUCGUGAGAUGUUGGGUUAAGUCCCGCAACGAGCGCAACCCUUAAGCUUAGUUGCCAUCAUUAAGUUGGGCACUCUAAGUUGACUGCCGGUGACAAACCGGAGGAAGGUGGGGAUGACGUCAAAUCAUCAUGCCCCUUAUGAUUUGGGCUACACACGUGCUACAAUGGACAAUACAAAGGGCAGCGAAACCGCGAGGUCAAGCAAAUCCCAUAAAGUUGUUCUCAGUUCGGAUUGUAGUCUGCAACUCGACUACAUGAAGCUGGAAUCGCUAGUAAUCGUAGAUCAGCAUGCUACGGUGAAUACGUUCCCGGGUCU